rnacentral:rRNA from 1 species
GAUGAACGCUGGCGGCGUGCUUAACACAUGCAAGUCGAACGGAAAGGCCCAAGCUUGCUUGGGUACUCGAGUGGCGAACGGGUGAGUAACACGUGGGUGAUCUGCCCUGCACUUCGGGAUAAGCCUGGGGAACUGGGUCUAAUACCGGAUAGGACCACAUUUUGGAUGGUGUGGUGGAAAGUUUUUCGGUGUGGGAUGAGCUCGCGGCCUAUCAGCUUGUUGGUGGGGUAAUGGCCUACCAAGGCGUCGACGGGUAGCCGGCCUGAGAGGGUGUACGGCCACAUUGGGACUGAGAUACGGCCCAGACUCCUACGGGAGGCAGCGGUGGGGAAUAUUGCACAAUGGGCGCAAGCCUGAUGCAGCGACGCCGCGUGGGGGAUGACGGCCUUCGGGUUGUAAACUCCUUUCGCUAGGGACGAAGCGUUAUGUGACGGUACCUGGAGAAGAAGCACCGGCUAACUACGUG